GCACCUGCGCACUGUGGCUGCCCGCAGCGAGGCUAUGCCUGCUGUGGACUGAGCACCUAGAUGUCGCGAACUCCUAACCUUUGACCUUGGCGAGAGGCUUUGCGGGCAAGACAAGCGCAGGGCCCGGGAGGUGCGGCGUUUGUCCCAGGCUAGCCUGCCCCACGGUGGGGCAGUGUCUUCUUAUGCCCAGUUGCAUAUGGCCCUCGGGCCAGGUCUCUGGAAGCGGAGAUUACCUGGCCUCGUCAGUGGGAAUGAGGGGAAGCCCUGGGCAGCCAUGUGCGGCUCCCUUCUUGAGGGGUCUGCAGCCUGCUCACCCACUUCAGUGCAUCCAGCCAGGUGCUGAGGGGAAGGCAGACCAAAGCCCUCACAGGAAAUGCCAACACUGCCAGAUUAACUGCUGACAGAAACUUGCUGCUGAAGACGACAGGGCUCAGAGCCCACAGCCCACUUUAAAGUGUCCUCCUCAGAGUCUCAAGUCCCACUAAAAAGUCUCAGCCCAGAAUCCUAUCAGAUGCCCCAGGCUGUGUGCAGCCUUCCUUCCUGUGGGAACCUUCCUUCUCUAGGCUCCUGCUCCCAGCUGUGACUGCCAGCUUCCUAUCCACUUUCUGUUGUAAACUAGCAAAAAGAGCUUCGUUAUAUUUGUAUUAUAUCAAAAUACCUGUAAUGUGACCUACUGUUCUAUAUGUGUGUUUCUUUUCCUCUGGGUGACCUAAUUGACAUGUUAAUCAAUGCUCUCCUCUGUAAAGAACUGUAAAACCUAACCUAAUUGAUAUGUUAACCAUUGUUGCCCUCUAUAAAUAACAGAUGUGGUGCUAAAAUAAACUAACGGGUUGUUAAUUA